GAUGAAGAACGCAGCGAAAUGCGAUAAGUAAUGUGAAUUGCAGAAUCCAGUGAAUCAUCGAAUCUUUGAACGCACAUUGCGCCCGCCAGCAUUCUGGCGGGCAUGCCUGUUCGAGCGUCAUUUCAACCCUCGACCUCCCUUUGGGGAAGUCGGCGUUGGGGACCGGCAGCACACCGCCGGCCCUGAAAUGGAGUGGCGGCCCGUCCGCGGCGACCUCUGCGUAGUAAACCAACUCGCACCGGAACCCCGACGUGGCCACGCCGUAAAACACCCAACUUCUGAACGUUGACCUCGAAUCAGGUAGGACUACCCGCUGAACUUAAGCAUAUCAAUAAGCGGAGCA
rnacentral:misc_RNA from 1 species